rnacentral:lncRNA from 1 species
UAUGAAUUGGUUGGUGUGUUAAAGAUACUUUUCAAUAAGCGCAAUAAAUUUUCAUUGAGUUUUGCCGGUUUUCUUUUCAACCAACAAGAUCUAGCAUAUGUAUAGCACUAUUUACUUUAUCAAAACUUAUUAAACAGCUGAAAAAUUGAAGUCAGUACCUCCCCUAGCCAAAACCAACCAGCUGCAUUGCUUAUCCUGAUUAUAUCACUUUAAGUGGUAUUUACAAAGGCAGCAAUAAAGCCCAAAAUAAGCCACUGAAUGAAUAUGUUGUUUGGUACACUUGGAUAAACAUAUGGAUUUACUAUAAUAUGGGAGAUUAAUCUGAAGUUGAAUCAAGUGGUGUACUGAACCCAAAAUACCAGUGUGUUAAAAUGCCUUUUGGACUGACUGGUCAUAGUGAACAGUGAAAGGCAAAGGAGCUGGAAGUAUUGCAGAGCUUCUCUGAACUCCUUCAGUCUUGAAUUUUCAGACAGUGCAUGCCACCUGCUGUUAGCACAUCCCAGUGCUAUGCUCAAAUCAACUCACAUGUCAACCCUACUCAUGGACACAUUCACUGAUGGUAAUUAAAUAGUGUCUUUUUUCCCUUUCUUUUCUUUCUGUGUUGUUUUCUCAUCACUCUAAUACUUAUCAUUUUUAAUAGUUGUAUCACCUGUAAUUUCCAUUGCACUAACCUCUUUAAUCUUCAAGGUUACCCCUCCCCUUUCUGUAACUGUAGAUGAGUAGACUGCUAACCUAUAUUUUUGCCUUUAAAGUAUUUCUGGGAUUUUUAGAGGUGUGC